rnacentral:rRNA from 1 species
UACGAAGGGGGCUAGCGUUGCUCGGAAUCACUGGGCGUAAAGGGUGCGUAGGCGGGUUUUUAAGUCAGGGGUGAAAUCCUGGAGCUCAACUCCAGAACUGCCUUUGAUACUGAAGAUCUCGAGUCCGGGAGAGGUGAGUGGAACUGCGAGUGUAGAGGUGAAAUUCGUAGAUAUUCGCAAGAACACCAGUGGCGAAGGCGGCUUACUGGUCCGGUUCUGACGCUGAGGCGCGAAAGCGUGGGGAGCAAACAGG